GGGGUGUGGUGUUUGAGCAUUGAAUAGUGGUUGCGAGCAUCUAGACGGAUCCGUUGCCCAAGUGGCCGCGUAUUCGUCAAAAAUGUGUAAUUUUUCUUUUGGUUUU
rnacentral:misc_RNA from 1 species